ACGCCAGUGUGAAAGCGCCCUAAAACAGUCAGUGGUUGAGAAGGACCUGCGAUGAUGUCACCAUCAUGUGACCAGUGCAGGAGAGGGUGGCAGUGAAGAGGGGAAUAAGCUGAGGUGAUGUCUGCUAUAUCAGGAGAGGUAAGUGAAGGGAGAGGCAGAGCAAUGCUGGGAGUUGUGGUUAUUUAACUGGGACU